rnacentral:rRNA from 1 species
CCAAGGAGUCUAACAUGUGCGCGAGUCAUUGGGUCUUGCUCAGGCCCAAAGGCGCAAUGAAAGUGAAGGCCGGCUCGGUCGGCUGCGUUGGGAUCCCGCCCUCGUCUUGGGGGGGCACCAACGGCCCGUCCCAGUCGCUGCGUCGACGGGGCGGAGUGAGAGCGUACACGUUGGGACCCGAAAGAUGGUGAACUAUGCCUGGGCAGGACGAAGCCAGAGGAAACUCUGGUGGAGGUCCGCAGCGAUUCUGACGUGCAAAUCGAUCGUCAGACCUGGGUAUAGGGGCGAAAGACUAAUCGAACCAUCUAGUAGCUGGUUCCCUCCGAAGUUUCCCUCAGGAUAGCUGGCGCUCGGAGGAAGCAUUCUCAUCCGGUAAAGCGAAUGAUUAGAGGCCUU